AAUGAACGUUGGCGGCGUGGAUUAGGCAUGCAAGUCGAGCGAGAACCCGCAAGGGGGACAGCGGCAAACGGGGUAGUAAUGUGUCGGAACGUGCCCAGAGGACGGGGAUAGCGGCGGGAAACUGCCGGUAAUACCCGAUGAUCUCGAGAGAGCAAAGGUGUGAUUCCGCCUUUGGAGCGGCCGACAUGGUAUUAGCUAGUUGGCGGGGUAACGGCCCACCAAGGCUUUGAUGCCUAGGGGAUGUGAGAGCAUGAUCCCCACCAUUGGGACUGAGACACUGCCCAGACACCUACGGGUGGCUGCAGUCGAGAAUCUUCGUCAAUGGGCGAAAGCCUGAACGAGCGACGCCGCGUGCGGGAUGAAGGCCCUUGGGUUGUAAACCGCUGUCGAGGGGGAUGAAGGCAUUCAGGUACUCCUGAAUGUUUGACAGAGCCCUGGAGGAAGCACGGGCUAAGUUCGUGCCAGCAGCCGCCGCAGUAA
rnacentral:rRNA from 1 species